UCUUGGGGUUGUUGUACUAACUGAAGAUAUCAGAUUAGAAGACUGAAACUAACUCGUUUAAAAUUCUUAUAUAUGCAUAAAGCCAUUCUGAGUGUUUUGGGCUGUACAAUACGAUUAUAUCAGGGCAGGAAAACCCCUCGUUGAAUAUCUGGCUUAUUCUUCUUUUGGCCUUGAUCGUUCUCCCAAAAAUCUUCUUUUAACAAUGCAAUUGAGGAAGCGGAGGCACACCAAAAGUGGUUAAAUGUGGUCUGGCUUGCCAGUGCACGGGCUGUGAUGGACUUCCUCUGCAAAGUAUUUCAUUUUGGACACAGUCCCUUUCUAAACACAGCGCACCUGGGACAACAGCUUUGGUUCCAGACCCAGUGUUAAUCAGCAGCAAUGCAUGCCUGCCAGCGGCUCGUAUAUACAAUUAAUAUUGUGCCCUGACUUUUAACAGCCGAUAUUGCGGCUCUUAUGAAAACAGAAUACCGCAGAGUGCCACGACUCCAGCGUUUAGCCGAAGCAGUAUGACAAAAUUUUUACAGAAAUCUUCCUGAUUGCUGAAAGGAUCUCAAAGAAUUUGCAGGGAAAGUGGCAAAGAAAAAUAUUUAAGCAGCCCUAAUGCAUUCUUUCAUGAGCUGUGGUGUGUCCAUUGCCUGGGCAAUAAGACAAAACAUACCCUACAGAAUCUGACGGUUGUCUCUUUGGGAAGACAAGUCAUUUUCACAUGAAGGUAUCCAUGACUAGGCCGUCUUAGUGUUUGACAUUCCAGUAUUGAUUCCACUCUGAGGGUGUGGAGGGGAUUUCCGCCGUAAUCUCCAGUGAAAGAGGUGCGUGCCGUGCGCUGGAAACACACUCACAAGCUAAUUCGAGGCAAAGUAAAGCUCUCAUCUGGGAUUGGUAAGAGUCUCUCCAAGCACCCCAAAGACUUCCAGCUCAUUCUUGAUUGCACAUGGCAGCCUCUGACCUGUACCGAAGGCACCCGCUGCCAUGGAAGAUUGAUGAUUAUCGAUGCAGAAACCCUUUGCUAAUUCAGCGUACAAGCAUUCGUCGGCAGUGGUAAUCCGCUUCCUAUGGAGAAGGCCGAGGGGGUGUGUGAAAGCAGGCUGUGUGUCAUCCCUUCAGCUCUGACAGAGUUCCUGGAAGGAAAGGAACCACCUUCUUGGGGGGGAUACCCAGCCAUGUGGAAGUGGGAGUUGAAUUAUACACAAAAGUUCUUUUAAGUCAGUGAUCAAUCAGACUCUCUAGCUGCAACUGCACAUUAUCAAGCACCAGGUCCUCAGUAUCAUGCCACGCUCUGAGAACUUACAGAGAAUGAUGGGACUGAUCAGACAUAGUGUUGGGAGGCCUUGACCUUUCAAAAGGAAGUUGCGCUUGAUCCAAGUGUUUUCCAGCACCUGCAAAAUGUCAACCUGUUUAGAUUCAAAGCAGAGACACUGAUAGGACCAUCUGGACCUUCACUCAUGACAUCCAGCCACAGUCCGUGUUCACGGCUAGCCCACUCAGAAAAUGGAUCAGCCAAGACCUCAUUUGUUACUUUUUGACUAGCACAAGGUGAAAGAUCCACUCAAAAAAGAAGAAAAAGAAAAGGCAAUUGCUAUCAGGCUUAAUCUUCAGUUGACUGUCUAAAAAACAUUAACACAUUCUUGACUCCUACUCUCAUGUGGUAAAACGCCUUCAGUAAAAGGUUUUUUUUA